GUGCUGUAUGAAGGAAAGAAGGUUGGCAUUCCUGACAGGGAUGGAAGAGGCCCUUUGGGCCUGACAACAAUAGCAGAGAGGGCUACAAGCCCCACCUACUUCUGGCAAGAUCUAACCCUCGUUUUUU